UGUGGUACUGGCAGGGCCAUAAAUAUAUUUUCCAAUGUUAUAAAUUUGCUUGAUAUUUUUUAUCAAACCGGGGAAAUGCAAAUUUUUUUAACUUAUCCUG